GGGGAUGUAAAGGUUUCGACGUGUACAGUUGUAUCAUGAACAGCGAGCCGGGGUUUCAUCUGCCCGUAAAUCGGUGAACCUUUAAAUUAAACGCAAAAGAAAACAAUUUUGCUUUAGCUGCCUAAGGGCAACUAUCGUCUCUUGCCGCUGAUCCCGCGUGCGGUUUGCAGGCGUCACUCAGCGGGAUACCGAGCGGCCGGGCCCGACGGCCGUUGCGGGAACCCACCGGGCUGGAUCGGUUCGGUUUGUCCUUGUACGAAAACCGAUCGAAACACUGAACAAGGUCUGCGCUCGGAGAGGUUCAUGGGGCAGUGUGUACGGACAGGAGUUCGACUCUCCUCAUCUCCACCA
rfam:Anaeroglobus geminatus F0357 genomic scaffold Scfld79, whole genome shotgun sequence.